rnacentral:rRNA from 1 species
AGCGCAGGUGGUUUGGUAAGUCUAAAGUGAAAGCCCGGGGCUUAACCUCGGAAGUGCUUAGGAUACUGCCAGACUAGAGUUCGUGAUAGGAAAGCGGAAUUCCAGGUGUAGCGGUGAAAUGCGUAGAUAUCUGGAGGAACACCGGUGGCGAAGGCGGCUUUCUGGCGCGAUACUGACACUGAGGCUCGAAAGCAUGGGGAGCGAACAGGAUUAGAUACCCUGGUAGUCC